UUAAACAUAUAUGGAAAAAUAAGGAGAGAGAGAUAGGAAUGGGGGAAAGAAGAUAAAGAGAGAUAAAUAGGAAGUGAGUGAGUGAGAGAGAGAGAGAGAGAGAGAGAGAGAGAGAGAGAGAGGGAGAGAUAAGAUAUGCCGGCUAGGAGGACGAAGAGAGAGGCAUGGGAGAGUCAAUAUAUCUCUAUCUCUCCUCAUAUCUUUCAUUCUCUCUCUCUUUCUUUCCUUAUUUUUUC
rnacentral:misc_RNA from 1 species